AUGCUGAAAAGCCAACUUCAUCUUUUGCAGUUAUGCCCUAUGGUAUCUGGAAGCUAUCUGGAAACAUUGUUUUGCUUUGGUAGUGUAACUGAAAGAGUCCUGGAAUUGGAAAACAAAAUCCAGAAGUUGAGUUCCAUGGCUUUUUUGCUGUUUGUCUUUGGAAUGAAGAAAGGAUCAAAUUGAGACAACCAGGAGGGAAGAGUUCCCUGGCAAAACUCCAAUCUGCCUGAGCACUGAGGUGGAGCCACAGAAGUCCGGAUCAUCCGCAAACGGGAGGAGCCUGGCUCCUCCUCUUCCUGUGUGUAAUCUGGGAUUUAAUCUGUGAGGAGCGAACGCCAAGGGCAGGAAGCACGGGCUCUGACUCUCUUUUUUUCUUUAUGCCUAAUAAAUCCCAUUUUUCUCACUCUUCAAAUAGUCUUCAAGCCUAAGCCUAAAUUUUCGUGACGGUGGAACAAGGACUCCAUCUUUAGCUGAACUAAGGAAAAGUCCUGCGACAAAAUUCUUUGCUAAAAAUACAUGAGAUUGCCUUCUUCUUCUUAGUCUAAAAAGAAAUAUAUUUCAAUGGUUAAUGUUUUAGUAAUUCAAAAAUUAUCAAGCAUUUGUUCACAACCAUAAGUUGUGCAUUUUUUAUAUUACUACUUGAUAAUAGACUAAUUGUCUUAUUAAACUGCCAAUGUUGAUCUUUGUGACUCAUUGCAUUGAUUAUAAGCAGUGUUGUGUGUGUGUGUGUGUGUGUGUGUCAAAUUUAGGGGUUUUUGGCAUGGCUGCUGGUAGCCUGUAUCCGAUAUCCUGUAUUAAUUCUAAUAUUUGCAUUUUUAACAUGUUUCCAAGUUGCUAAAAUAGCAAAGCUUCAAGGCCAGUCUGGCCGAUAUGGCAAAACCCCGUCUCUACUAAAAGUACAAAAAUUAGCCUGGUGUGGGGGUGCAUGCCUGUAAUCCCAGCUACUUGGAAGUCUGAGGCAGGAGAAUCUCUUGAACCCAGAAGGCAGAGAUUGCAGUGAGUCGAGAUCACACCACUGCACUCCAGCCUCGGCGAUAGAGUGAGACUUCGUCUGAAAAAUAAAAUAAAAUAAAAAUAGCAAAGCUAUGUAUAGUUUCUCUGAGUUUUGUAAUUUAUCGUUAUUAACUGCAGAAAUUUAUUAUAUGAUACAUAUAAGUAAAUUUGGAUUGGGUUUAAUUUUAUAUUUUUG
rnacentral:lncRNA from 1 species